rnacentral:rRNA from 1 species
AACGAUGGCUAAUACCGCAUAAUGCCUACGGGCCAAAGAGGGGGACCUUCGGGCCUCUCGCGUCAGGAUAUGCCUAGGUGGGAUUAGCUAGUUGGUGAGGUAAUGGCUCACCAAGGCGACGAUCCCUAGCUGGUCUGAGAGGAUGAUCAGCCACACUGGAACUGAGACACGGUCCAGACUCCUACGGGAGGCAGCAGUGGGGAAUAUUGCACAAUGGGCGCAAGCCUGAUGCAGCCAUGCCGCGUGUGUGAAGAAGGCCUUCGGGUUGUAAAGCACUUUCAGUCGUGAGGAAGGUGGUAGUGUUAAUAGCACUAUCAUUUGACGUUAGCGACAGAAGAAGCACCGGCUAACUCCGUGCCAGCAGCCGCGGUAAUACGGAGGGUGCGAGCGUUAAUCGGAAUUACUGGGCGUAAAGCGCAUGCAGGUGGUUUGUUAAGUCAGAUGUGAAAGCCCGGGGCUCAACCUCGGAAUUGCAUUUGAAACUGGCAGACUAGAGUACUGUAGAGGGGGGUAGAAUUUCAGGUGUAGCGGUGAAAUGCGUAGAGAUCUGAAGGAAUACCGGUGGCGAAGGCGGCCCCCUGGACAGAUACUGACACUCAGAUGCGAAAGCGUGGGGAGCAAACA